rnacentral:lncRNA from 1 species
UUUAUUUUCCUCCAAUAAUUUGAUUGAUAACAAUGUUAAAAGGAAAAUUAAAAUCAUAAGAAUUAAAAAGAGAAGGAUUCUGAGAGAUAAACUGACCCUUUCAUCAAAGAGCACCGGGAAGGGGGUAUCAAGGUCUGCAUGGUGAAGCCUUUGGAGGGAAUGAUAUCCAGGGGAGACGAAGCUUGUGAGGUUGGGCAAAGAUUCCAGUGAAAUAUGGAAUAAUUUAGGGAGCUCAACAUGCCCAUCAUCAACAUUUAGCUCUUCAAGAUCCACAUUCACAUUUGUCCCUUCCACAUCAAAAACCGCUUCUAAUGAACUACAAUUCUCUACCACCAGACUCUGUAACCUUUUCAGCAUACAAGAUGGAAAAAUAUUCAACAAUUCUCCACAUAAGAAUACUCUCACAACUUCUAGUUUGGAGAAGGAAUCUUGAGGAAUUUGGUUGGGCCAUAUUUUUUUCACAUUAUCCAGUCCCUCGAUAUAUAAGAAAUCCAAGCUAGGAAAUGCAACCUGCAGAGUUCAUCCCACCAUUUUGUUAUUUAUAUAUUUUGACUAACUGAAAAAAGAAAAUAAUCCAUGUGUAGGAAAACACAAUAAACUACAUCUUAAAGAAGGGUGGAGGAAAAUGUACAUGCUUAAACAAGUUGAAUUUCAUUGUCUAAAACUAUAAGAAUUUGUAAGGAAAAAAUCAGUCAAGAAAUAGCACAGUUUCCAUGGAAUUCAUUUUAACACAACUCUCAUACAUUUGAAAUGUUCCAAAAGAGUCGUCUGUUUGGUUUUUUUUUUUUUUCCAUUUUUUAUUUAAUUGUUAAAGCAAAUUACUUUAAACCUUAAAUGUUUUGAUUGAUUUUUAUCUAAUCGUCUUAAAAAAAAUUAAACCACCACAAUCUCGUGUAAUUUGGAUGAGAGUGAAUUCAUUAUAAAUUACAAAAACUUAUUAUAAAAAAAUACUACUUAAAUACUUUUUAUUUGUCUAUAAAAAAUUCCUUUAUCUAGAUAAUAAAUUAAUAAAAAAUAAAUCCAUAAAAUUCUAUACAUUUAUCACACAACAAAAUAAAAAUAAACUACCACUAAUUCUUAUAUAUAUUUCUUAAUUAAAAAAGAACCCAAAACAUAAUUUACAUUCAUCUAAAUAUUCAUUAGAGUAAAUAAUUCCAUAAAUUUUGUAAAUCAAAAAAUAGAAUUUGAUAUUCUUUCCCAAAUUAAAAAUAUAAAAGUUAGUGAAUUAAUUUCAAUAAUCAAACAUAUACUUCAAUUAUAAAACCAUUAUGCAAAGAUAUGUACACUGUAUAGAAUUGUUAACUUAGAAAAUUUUCUAGCAUUUUUUUACUAAUGAAGUAUAAUUAGAAAUUAUUUUAUUAUUCCAAUACAAAUUUUCAUAAUAAUUAUAUAAUUAAUUAUUAUAAAACUUUUAUAAUAUUAAUAAUUCAAAUAUUUUAGGAUAUUUGAAUAUUAUUUUUUCAAAUUAGAGUAAGAAGAAAUAUCAUAAUUAAUUUUACAAAUAUUUUAAUAUAUACAAACUACAUUCAACGUCCACCAUUCAAACCUGAAUAAAAACAAAUAAAUCAAACAUUUAAUUAUAUUAAACUCUAUUAUUAACCGUUAAGUUAAAUUUAGGCGAAAAAUGAAAAUAAAAAAAGAGAAACAAGAACCAGCUCAAUCUAAAUUUUCUUUAUUUUCCUCCAAUAAUUUGAUUGAUAACAAUGUUAAAAGGAAAAUUAAAAUCAUAAGAAUUAAAAAGAGAAGGAUUCUGAGAGAUAAACUGACCUUUUCAUCAAAGAGCACCGGGAAGGGGGUAUCAAGGUCUGCAUGGUGAAGCCUUUGGAGGGAAUGAUAUCCAGGGGAGACGAAGCUUGUGAGGUUGGGCAAAGAUUCCAGUGUAAUAUCGCUUAAUUUAGGGAAUAUGAUAUUGCCUACAGGAGCAGAAGCCAUGGAAGAAGGGAAAUGAUUUCUGGAGCUGUCACAGUUGCAUAUAUGCCUCAACUUUGGUAGACCAGACAACAUCAGUU